AAACUGUGUGGUUGACUUCUGAGGCUUGCAGAGAAUGGCCAGCAAUUCAGCAAAUCUGGGCAUGAAUGAAUGACAUGUAGCUGAAAGUAUGGAGAAGGCUGGUGUUGGUUGGUUUCUCCAGUUUGAGGUAUCUGAGCUGGCAGAGGACUCUGAGGCCAAUGAUCAGGGUCUUGAGGGUCAGUGUGGCUUUCCCCCUGACUCUGUUGGUGAAGAGGAAGAACCUGAGCAGGAGCAGAAGGAUCUUGACUUUCAACAAUUUGUUGUUGUAACUGGUGUUGGCAAUGGGGAUUGUAUUUGAUGAUUACAGGAUUCCUGCAGGAUUGAGGAACACCAUGAAGAGACAAUUAAGUGGGGAAAAAAUCAUCAGCAGGCUAGCUGACCUGGUAAGGAGAACUUUCAACUUAGACACAACAAGAGAGAGGAUAACCCACAGUCAAAUGAUGAAGGGGUGGACUGGCUUGCCAAGUAAAUUGUGCAGGGUGAUGUGAACAAGGGAUGUCUAAAUGAACAAAGUAAGCCUGAAAAGGAUCCACCUUGGACAUUUGCACAUAAGGAAAUGCCUGUGGGAUAACAUUAUGGGGGAAGUUACUCCUGCCUUCCCUGGGAAAUCAGCAGGACUGAGUGCAUCCCUGCAGGACCUCUAUACUGUUGCAUGUGCAUUGGGAAUAAAACCAGGAGAAACAAGAGAUUUCUGUGCAGAUGCAGGACUAUGAGCAUUGCAGGUGCCUGCCACAGGCUACCCAAUCCUUGUGAGACCACUCUGAAUUACCUUUGGCAGCUCAUGGUAAGUAGAAACCCUCCUGAUGUCUGGAAGAAAGAAAAGAUCACUUCAGGCUUUAAGAAUGACAAUGCAGAGAAUAAGAUGCAGACCAGCCUCCCUUUGGUCUGUGAAAAGGUGAUGGAGCAAAUAAUCCUAAUGACCAUUUUCAGGUUUAUGAAGAACAAGGCAAUUGGGAGUAGUCAUUGUGGAUUUGUGAAAGGGAAAUAGCUCCUGACCAGCCAGAUAGCCUCCUGGUAUGCUGGUGAUAAAAUGUGUAUCUCAGUGGACCGGGUGAAAACCACAGACUUUGUGGGCUUUCACAAGACUCUACAGUGUUC